GACGAACGCUGGCGGCGUGCUUAACACAUGCAAGUCGAACGGAAAGGCCUGCUUUUCCUUGCGGAUUGCGGGUACUCGAGUGGCGAACGGGUGAGUAACACGUGAGUGAUCUGCCCCCAACUUGGGUAUAAGCCCGGGAAACUGUGCCGAAUUCUCGAUAGGACUGCAGGGUGCUGCCGGUGGUGGAAAACGUUCUUUUAGUGGUUGGGGAUGAGCUGGCGGCGUAGCAGCUUGUUGGUGGGGUAAUGUCCUACCAAGGCGGGGACGGGUAGCCAGCCUGAGAGGGUCGACGGCGGCAUUGAGACUGGGACACGACCCAGACGCGUGCGAGAGGCAGCAGUGGGGAAUAAUGGGGCGUAGGCGGGAGCCUGAUGCAGCGAGGCCGCGAGGGAGAUGACGGGCUUGGGAUAGUAAGCUCCUUGCGACCACGAGGUAGGCACGUGGUUGGGAGGGUCGUGACGGUAGUGGAAGAAGAAGCACCGGCUAACUACGUG
rnacentral:rRNA from 1 species